rnacentral:rRNA from 1 species
AGUGAACGCUGGCGGUAGGCCUAACACAUGCAAGUCGAACGGCAGCACAGAGGAGCUUGCUCCUUGGGUGGCGAGUGGCGGACGGGUGAGGAAUACAUCGGAAUCUACUCUGUCGUGAGGGAUAACGUAGGGAAACUUACGCUAAUACCGCGUACGACCUACGGGCGAAAGCAGGGGACCUUCGGGCCUUGCGCGAUUGAAUGAGCCGAUGUCGGAUUAGCUAGUUGGCGGGGUAAAGGCCCACCAAGGCGACGAUCCGUAGCUGGUCUGAGAGGAUGAACAGCCACACUGGAACUGAGACACGGUCCAGACUCCUACGGGAGUCAGCAGUGGGGAAUAUUGGACAAUGGGCGCAAGCCUGAUCCAGCCAUACCGCGUGGGUGAAGAAGGCCUUCGGGUUGUAAAGCCCUUUUGUUGGGAAAGAAAUCCAGCUGGCUAAUACCCGGUUGGGAUGACGGUACCCAAAGAAUAAGCACCGGCUAACUUCGUGCCAGCCGCCGCAGUAA